rnacentral:rRNA from 1 species
AUUGAACGCUGGCGGCAGGCCUAACACAUGCAAGUCGAACGAGCGGCGGACGGGUGAGUAGUGUCUGGGAAACUGCCUGAUGGAGGGGGAUAACUACUGGAAACGGUAGCUAAUACCGCAUACCAUCGGAUGUGCCCAGAUGGGAUUAGCUAGUAGGUGGGGUAAAGGCUCACCUAGGCGACGAUCCCUAGCUGGUCUGAGAGGAUGACCAGCCACACUGGAACUGAGACACGGUCCAGACUCCUACGGGAGGCAGCAGUGGGGAAUAUUGCACACUGGGCGCAAUCCUGCUGCAGCCAUGCCGCGUGUAUGAAGAAGGCCUUCGUGUUGUAAAGUACUUUCAGCUGGGAGGCGUUACCCGCAGAAGAAGCACCGGCUAACUCCGUGCCAGCCGCCGCGGUAAUUC